rnacentral:rRNA from 1 species
AUUGAACGCUGGCGGCAUGCCUUACACAUGCAAGUCGAACGGCAGCACGGGAGCAAUCCUGGUGGCGAGUGGCGAACAGGUGAGUAAUACAUCGGAACGUGCCCAAUCGUGGGGGAUAACGCAGCGAAAGCUGUGCUAAUACCGCAUACGAUCUACGGAUGAAAGCAGGGGACCGCAAGGCCUUGCGCGAAUGGAGCGGCCGAUGGCAGAUUAGGUAGCUGGUGGGGUAAAGGCUCACCAAGCCAACGAUCUGUAGCUGGUCUGAGAGGACGACCAGCCACACUGGGACUGAGACACGGCCCAGACUCCUACGGGAGGCAGCAGUGGGGAAUUUUGGACAAUGGGCGCAAGCCUGAUCCAGCCAUGCCGCGUGCAGGAUGAAGGCCUUCGGGUUGUAAACUGCUUUUGUACGGAACGAAACGGCUUUUUCUAAUAAAGAGGGCUAAUGACGGUACCGUAAGAAUAAGCACCGGCUAACUACGUG